rnacentral:rRNA from 1 species
CUCCAAUAGCGUAUAUUAAAGUUGUUGUGGUUAAAAAGCUCGUAGUAGAAGCUCGGGCUCCGGCCGACUGGUCCGCCUCACCGCGUGCACUGGUUCGGCCGGGCCUUCACCUUCUGCGGAACCGCAUCUCCUUCACUGGGGGUGUCGGGGAAACAGGACGUUUACUGUGAAAAAAUUAGAGUGCUCCAGGCAGGCCUAUGCUCGAAUAGAUUAGCAUGGAAUAAUGGAAUAGGACGUGUGGUCUUAUUUCGUUGGUUUCUAGGACCGCCGUAAUGAUUAAUAGGGACAGUCGGGGGCAUCAGUAUUCAAUCGUCAGAGGUGAAAUUCUUGGAUCGAUUGAAGACUAACUACUGCGAAAGCAUUUGCCAAGGAUGUUUUCAUUUAUCAGGAACGAAAGUUAGGGGAUCGAAGACGAUCAGAUACCGUCGUAGUCUUAACCAUAAACUAUGCCGACUAGGGAUCGGACGGUGUUAUUUCUUGACCCGUUCGGCGCCUUACGGGAAAC